rnacentral:rRNA from 1 species
CCUACGGGUGGCAGCAGUGGGGAAUAUUGCACAAUGGGGGGAACCCUGAUGCAGCGACGCCGCGUGAGUGAAGAAGUAUUUCGGUACGUAAAGCUCUAUCAGCAGGGAAGAAAAAAGGACGGUACCUGCGUAAGAAGCCCCGGCUAACUAGGUGCCAGCAGCCGCGGUAAUACGGAGGGGGCAAGCGUUAUCCGGAAUUACUGGGUGUACAGGGAGCGUAGACGGCAAUGCAAGUCCGGCGUGGAAGGCGGCAGCUCAAGGGCCGAACUGCUCUUGAGACUGUAUGGCUUGAGUGCAGGGGGGGUAAGCGGAAUUCCUGGUGUAGCGGUGAAAUGCGUAGAUAUCAGGAGGAACACCGGUUGCGAAGGCGGCUUACUGGACUGUAACUGACGUUGAGGCUCGAAAGCGUGGGGAGCAAACAGGAUUAGAUACCCGAGUAGUC